AGUGAACGCUGGCGGUAGGCCUAACACAUGCAAGUCGAGCGGCAGCACAGUAAGAGCUUGUUGUUACGGGUGGCGAGUGGCGGGCGGGUGAGGAGUAUAUCCGUAUCUAUUUUUUCUUGGGGGCGAACGCAGGGAAUCUUACGGUAAUAGCGCAUACGAAGUACGGGUGGAAGCAUGGGAUCUCAGGCCCUCGCGCGAUUGAAGGACCGGAUGUCGGAUUAGCUAGUUGGCGGGGUAAAGGCCCACCAAGGCGACGAUCCGUAGCUGGUCUGAGAGGAUGAUCAGCCACACUGGAACUGAGACACGGUCCAGACUCCUACGGGAGGCAGCAGUGGGGAAUAUUGGACAAUGGGCGCAAGCCUGAUCCAGCCAUGCCGCGUGGGUGAAGAAGGCCUUCGGAUUGUAAAGCCCUUUUAUUGGGAAAGAAAAGCAGCAGGUUAAUACCCCGCUGUUCUGACGGUACCAAAAGAAUAAGCACCGGCUAACUUCGUG
rnacentral:rRNA from 1 species